rnacentral:rRNA from 1 species
AUGAACGCUGGCGGCGUGCCUAAUACAUGCAAGUCGCGCGAACAGACGAGGAGCUUGCUCCUCUGACGUUAGCGGCGGACGGGUGAGUAACACGUGGAUAACCUACCUAUAAGACUGGGAUAACUUCGGGAAACCGGAGCUAAUACCGGAUAAUAUAUUGAACCGCAUGGUUCAAUAGUGAAAGACGGUUUUGCUGUCACUUAUAGAUGGAUCCGCGCCGCAUUAGCUAGUUGGUAAGGUAACGGCUUACCAAGGCAACGAUGCGUAGCCGACCUGAGAGGGUGAUCGGCCACACUGGAACUGAGACACGGUCCAGACUCCUACGGGAGGCAGCAGUAGGGAAUCUUCCGCAAUGGGCGAAAGCUUGACGGAGCAACGCCGCGUGAGUGAUGAAGGUCUUCGGAUCGUAAAACUCUGUUAUUAGGGAAGAACAAAUGUGUAAGUAACUAUGCACGUCUUGACGGUACCUAAUCAGAAAGCCACGGCUAACUACGU